rnacentral:rRNA from 1 species
UGGGGAAUAUUGCACAAUGGGCGCAAGCCUGAUGCAGCCAUGCCGCGUGUAUGAAGAAGGCCUUCGGGUUGUAAAGUACUUUCAGCGAGGAGGAAGGCGGUAAGGUUAAUAACCUUAUCGAUUGACGUUACUCGCAGAAGAAGCACCGGCGAACUCCGUGCCAGAAGCCGCGGUAAUACGGAGGGUGCAAGCGUUAAUCGGAAUUCCUGGGCGUAAAGCGCACGCAGGCGGUCUGUCAAGUCGGAUGUGAAAUCCCCGGGCUCAACCUGGGAACUGCAUUCGAAACUGGCAGGCUAGAGUCUUGUAGAGGGGGGUAGAAUUCCAGGUGUAGCGGUGAAAUGCGUAGAGAUCUGGAGGAAUACCGGUGGCGAAGGCGGCCCCCUGGACAAAGACUGACGCUCAGGUGCGAAAGCGUGGGGAGCAAACA